CAUUAGUAAUACGGAAAAUGGUGCCUGGGGAGGGAGAUUAAUGAGCAAAUAUAUUGCUUCUUUUAGAGGAGGAGACAAAUACCCUCUUGUAUGAGAAUUUGGAUAUGGUCAAAGAAUGCAUUCUUCAGUUUUCAUUUGAGCACCCACUAUACAAAAAGAUCUGAACACCUGUGCAUGGAAAUAGGAAAUAUUUUCAUGUGUUUACCUUCAGUGCCAUAGAGGCCAAUAUGCACAUUAAAGCCAAGACAUGGAUGUUUAAAAGAAUUUAAUGUUUAAACCAUUACCACUGAUGCUUUCACA
rnacentral:lncRNA from 1 species